rnacentral:rRNA from 1 species
UAGGGAAUCUUCGGCAAUGGGGGGAACCCUGACCGAGCAACGCCGCGUGAGUGAAGAAGGUUUUCGGAUCGUAAAGCUCUGUUGUUAAGGAAGAACGAGUGUGAGAAUGGAAAGUUCAUGCUGUGACGGUACUUAACCAGAAAGGGACGGCUAACUACGUGCCAGCAGCCGCGGUAAUACGUAGGUCCCGAGCGUUGUCCGGAUUUAUUGGGCGUAAAGCGAGCGCAGGCGGUUAGAAAAGUCUGAAGUGAAAGGCAGUGGCUCAACCAUUGUAGGCUUUGGAAACUGUUUAACUUGAGUGCAGAAGGGGAGAGUGGAAUUCCAUGUGUAGCGGUGAAAUGCGUAGAUAUAUAGAGGAACACCGGUGGCGAAAGCGGCUCUCUGGUCUGUAACUGACGCUGAGGCUCGAAAGCGUGGGGAGCGAACAGG